AUGCCGAGCCAGCAGAUCCCGGCCACGCCGGUCGGCGGCAUCACCUCCCGCCGCCACGCCAAGCUCCUGCUCCACCUCGUCGAAGGGGACGGGGGUGCCGCCGCCGGCGGCGGCGCGUCCGUCAAGGACCUCCGCCUCCGCCGCGUCGUCCCUCCCGCGUCCGCGACGCUCGACGUCUCCCCCGAGUGCGCCGCCGCCGCCGCCAAGCCCGGAUCCGUCCAGAUCCAGAGCACCCCGCCGGAGCCGGCGGCGGCGGCCGAAGACCGCGAGAGGAAGCCGAUCCUGCCGCGGUCCAAGCUCGUGCGCGACCCGGGCUCCUUCGGCUACCGGAGGCUGCUCCCUUUCCUCAACCAGAUGGCCAACAAAGGUUCAGAUAUCUCAAGCGUCAAGGACAUGCCCUCGGAAAACAAGGUUCCCAUCCCAAACAAGGAGCUCAGCAGAUCUGACUCUGGGUUGGCUGAUGAGAUGCCUCCUGUGGUUGGGAGUCAAGGCGGAGCUGCUCCUGUGGGUUCCGUGGAGCCGCCUGUUGUGAAGGAUGGAACAGACAGUGAGAUCUGUGACAGUGUCAAAGAAGAAACCAAGGUUGUCGUCCCUGUUGAUCUCGCAAGCAGCAAGCCCUCUCUUGCCCGCUGCACGAGGUCAAAGUUUGUUCAUCACCCGAGCUCAUUCAGCUACAAGAGGAUGCUGCCAUUUCUCAUGGAGAACGACAUCUCCUCUCAGGAAGGAGACAGGGCCAAGUUCAGAAGAUUGUCUGAAGAGAAACAAAUUACAUCUGACCAGAAUGAUGUCCAGGCCAGUGGACAGAUCCAGCCUGCCACUGUAGAAGUUUCUCUGGAUGCCAGUGCAGCUGAAGUGCAGAAAGCCACACAAGGAGAAGAGCUAGCUUCAGUUGGAGACCCAUUGUCUUCAGAGAAGGGUGCAUUAGCAUCAGAUGCUGUCCCAGCCGGUGGACAGCGCCAGCCUCCUGUUUCAGAAGACACUCCUGAUGAAGGAAAUGUAGCUGAAGUUGAAAGCACCGUGGAAGAGAAGGCGUCAAAAUCAGAUGAGAAGCCUGUUCCUAUGGAUUCUGUAGAGCCACCUGUUGUGAAGGCUGAAGGAACUCAGGAGGUGAAGGAUUGCUGUGACAGUGCCAAAGAGGAAACCAAGAUUGUACCUGGUGAUCUUGCAAGCAGCAAGCCGUCCAUUCCCCGCUGCAUGAGGUCAAAGUUUGUUCCCCAUCGAAGCUCAUUUAGUUACAAGAGGAUGCUGCCAUUUCUCAUGCAGAAUGUGUGCUGUUGUCUUUCUGUAUCAGAAACCUCUUCUCAGAAAGAAGACAUGGCCAAACUUCAAACAGUCUCGGAAGAGAAGCAAUUAGCAUUGCCUGAAAAUGAUGUGUUGGCUAGUGGAAAUCAUCUUUCUGUCUCAGAAGGCUCUCCUGAAGCAUGCUACCAAGCUGAACUUGACAGAAUUGUAGAAGAAAUAUCAUUUAUACCAGAUGAGAACUAUCUUUUGAAGGGUGUACAGCUUCAGUCUGUUGUUCCAGUUACAGAAGUCUCUCUGGAUGUCAGUACAGCUGAAAUGCAGAAAGUCACACAAGAAGUGUUGGCUUCAGAUGGAGACCUAUUAUCCCCAGACAAGGGUGAGCUAACAUUGGAGAGGAAUGAUGUCCUAGCUGGUGGUCAGUGUCAGCUUGCUGUCUCAGACGGCUCUGCUAAGGAAAGUGAUGUAGCUGAAGCUGAGAGGAUAGUUGAAGAAAAGGCAACAAAAUCAGAUGAGAAUUCUGUACUUAAUGGCAAAGAUAUCCAGUCUGCUGUCUCUGAAGUAUCUCCUGAGGAUGGCGAUACAGAUGAAAUGAAAGAGGUAACAGAGAAACCAGCAUUGACUGCAGAUGGAGAUGAGUCAAGUGGAUUAGCAGCAGACAAGGGUGAGUUUCUGAUGAAAGAUCAGCCUCAGGCAUGUGGCUCAAAGGAGUUACAAUGCAAUGCUGAUCUUGCUGUAGCACAACAAUGCCAGAGCCCAGAGUCAGGAUGUUCUAUCAAGACAGUAAUGGUGGAUGGUGGAGCUGAUCCACAUGGCGCACCAGAGAGACAUGAUUCUGUGGCUUCUCUUGGUGGCCUACUGCUUGAUGUGGGAAUGAUCAGCAAGCCUUCUGAACCUUCUAUUGGCUCACCCUUAUCAGCAGAGGGAAUGUCUGGUUGUGUUGCACAUGCUGAAUCAGGGUUGAGUAAAGUGGGCACACCGUCUCCAUUGGGUUCUCCUUGUUUGGAACAACAACGCCUUUCUCCGAAGAUACCCUCCCCUAGCAGUGGCGCUUUCAGCGGCGCCUCUUUUCUGAAGAAACGGGGCUUUUCUCCGAAGAAACUUUCUCCAAAGAAGGGAAUACUUAAGAGGCAUACAAUGGGGUGCAGGGGCAUCUGCAUGUGCUUGGACUGCAGCGUAUUUCGUCUACAUGCUGAUAGAGCUUUUGAGUUCUCUAGGAAGCAAAUGCAAGAGGCAGAUGAUAUAAUAGUGAACUUACUGGAGGAGGUGGCAAGUCUUAGGAGUCUGGCGGAGAAAUCUUCUGGCCAACAGGAGCAGAUGGAAGCUUGCCAGAGGGCGUUGCGGGUAGAGGAGGUGGCCAAGGAGCGCCGGCAGCAGAUGCUGGCUGAGCUCAACUCUCACUGCAAAAUUCCUGGCCCAAGGGUGAAAUUCGCUCAGUACGUCGAGGGAAAGAUGGCCUCUUCUCCUUCCAGCAGCAGCAGCAGGAGGCAAUAA
rnacentral:rRNA from 1 species